CCUGAAUUCGAAAGGGGCCGGAUUCAAGUCCAUCCUGAUUGCUCAGGCCGCUCGGCCCCGCCAGAUGGUGCCGGUCGCCCGCGGCGAUUCAUUUCGCUUGCGGUGUCGUUCCCGGUGCUCACUCGGUGGGGUGGCGUUGCUCUGGCGUCGGAGGAGUGCACUUCCACCCUAGUAGAAACGUCGCGACCCGUUGGGUGCCGGUCUAAGGCCCGGGAUGGCAGACCACGUGUCCUGCGGGGGCUCUCGCAGGCGCGCGGACUCCUGGUGUCCCGGCCGGCUGCCCGACGGUAAGACCAGAGGGGUCGAUCCGCUACUUGGGAAACACUGUGGUGUGUAGCGUCCGGCCCGGCGCCGACACGUGCGGGGAUUAAGGUGCAAGCCGUGGGUGUCCGUGCGAAGCACGGCCCCUGCCCCGCCGCGUCGUCGGAUUUGCCGGUGUCCUCGGACAGGAUCGCAACCCCCGUCUGCGACGCCCACCUUCGGAUGGUCUCCCG
rnacentral:rRNA from 1 species